rfam:Pantoea stewartii subsp. stewartii DC283 WGS_Sequence32, whole genome shotgun sequence.
CGUGUGGUGCUGCGCAGGUUUCGUCCUAGCGCGGAGAGCGACACGGCCUUCUAUGAGGU